rnacentral:rRNA from 1 species
AUGCCUCGUCAUCUAAUUAGUGACGCGCAUGAAUGGAUUAACGAGAUUCCUACUGUCCCUAUCUACUAUCUAGCGAAACCACAGCCAAGGGAACGGGCUUGGAAUAAUUAGCGGGGAAAGAAGACCCUGUUGAGCUUGACUCUAGUCUGGCAGUGUAAGGAGACAUAAGAGGUGUAGCAUAAGUGGGAGAUAUAUUAGUUUCGGCUAAAUAUAUCAAAAAUGAAAUACCACUACUCUUAUUGUUUCCUUACUUACUUGAUAAAAUGGAACGUGUAUCAUUCACUUAGCCAUUAUACGGAUAUAUUUAUAUAUUUUAUGGUAUUUUGUUUUGAUGCGAGCUUCUUGUUUAAAGUACCAAGAGUUUGUUAUAUACACCAAACAAAUAUCAAUUAAAUUUGCUUUCCAUUAAUAAUGGUUUGUUAAAUAUUAAUUGAAUUUGGUAUAACUAUUAUACUCAGGUAUGAUCCAAUUCAAGGACAUUGCCAGGUGGGGAGUUUGACUGGGGCGGUACAUCUCUCAAAUAAUAACGGAGGUGUCCCAAGGCCAGCUCAGUGCGGACAGAAACCACACAUAGAGCAAAAGGGCAAAUGCUGACUUGAUCUCGGUGUUCAGUACAUACAGAGACAGCAAAAGCUCGGCCUAUCGAUCCUUUUGGUUUAAAGAGUUUUUAACAAGAGGUGUCAGAAAAGUUACCACAGGGAUAACUGGCU